rnacentral:rRNA from 1 species
UUCCUACGGGGCGCAGCAGUGGGGGAUAUUGCACAAUGGGGGAAACCCUGAUGCAGCGACGCCGCGUGUGGGAAGACGGUCCUCUGGAUUGUAAACCACUGUCCCCAGGGACGAAAAUGACGGUACCUGGGGAGGAAGCUCCGGCUAACUACGUGCCAGCAGCCGCGGUAAUACGUAGGGGGCAAGCGUUAUCCGGAUUUACUGGGUGUAAAGGGAGCGUAGACGGCGAUGCAAGUCUGAAGUGAAAGGCGGGGGCCCAACCCCCGGACUGCUUUGGAAACUGUAUAGCUGGAGUGCAGG